UAAGACUUUAAAUUUAUGCUCUCUGUUAUGUUCUUUCCAAGUGAGUAUAUUUACAUUUGUUAAUUUAGUCUUUUUGUCGUUUUAAUUCUACUGUUUUUCAGGUGGAAGUAGCAUUCACUGUUAUUGUGAUUUUACAGUAGUUCUGAUGCGUCAAACUUGACUGCCCUGCAUUUUAUUAUGAUUCGACAAUCUGCAACAAACUGCGUUCCGCAUUUUGACCAUGGUUUGAUGUUGCAACAGUCACCUUUGGACUUCAGUGCUCUGACUUUUUAUUGGUAAUCCUACUGUUGAUGGGCAUUUGGAAAAGAAUAUCUGAUAGGAAGUUAAUACAUUAUCUGGUCUUCAGUACUUUGUUAUGUGUGUGUCAUGAGUUGUAUACACAGUAAUUCUAAUAAACCAUGAUUAUUUACAUUA